rnacentral:rRNA from 1 species
AUACGGAGGAUCCGAGCGUUAUCCGGAUUUAUUGGGUUUAAAGGGUGCGCAGGCGGCCAUUUAAGUCAGCGGUUAAAUCGUGGGGCUCAACCCCAUUCUGCCGUUGAUACUGGGUGGCUUGAUUGCGGUCGAGGUUGGCGGAAUUCGUUGUGUAGCGGUGAAAUGCAUAGAUAUGACGAAGAACACCGAUUGCGUAGGCAGCUGACCAGACCGCAAAUGACGCUCAUGCACGAAAGUGCGGGGAUCGAACAGGAUUAGAUACCCUGGUAGUCCGCACAGUAAACGAUGAAUACUGGUUUUCGGCGAUAUAAUGUCGGAGGCAAAGCGAAAGCGAUAAGUAUUCCACCUGGGGAGUACGCCGGCAACGGUGAAACUCAAAGGAAUUGACGGGG